GGGGUACACUUAGUGAACUUAGGUCGGCGGGUUCCGCCCCCAGAACGCCCAGCGAAGCCUCCUGAGGCUGUGAGCCCAGGGGACAGUGUCACGCUGUGACCCCCCUGAAGCUUAGUCCCUCUUUGCCUGAAAACUACCAGGAAAACGUCUUCUCUGCGUUUCCCUCAGCUUGCCCAUUCUCUCCGGCGGGCCUGAUGACUCAAUGAAAUUGUUCACAAAAGGAAAUUAGCUUAAAAGUAUAUGUUGCCCUGAUCCUCUGCCCUGCACUGCCAGCACUUGGAUAAAAGAGGGCCUCUAAUAAUGGAGUAAAAUGAAGAUAUAUGUAUUCUUAUCUGAUACCCUGGAGAAAGAUGUCACUUUCCCAAAUGCUGAGACUGCUUACCUCAAGUCUGAAAUGUUGGAAAAAAUCGAGAGACUGGUGAGAUGGAAUAUGGAAAGAUACCUAACUUCAACCUGCAGUUUCCUCAUGUGCCCACACACAUGUGAAUAUGCAUAGACCCAGACCACACAAGGAAAUAAAUGAUAAAUGAAUUAAAAACU